CUGGUCAGUCUCACGAUGGUAGAAGUAGUUGAAGUUGGAGACGAUGACGGGGACAGGCAGGGCGAUUGUCAACACACCAGCGAUCGCGCACAGAGAGCCCACAAUUUUUCCCCAAACUCCGACGGGCCUGAAGCAGAGGCAAACGUAGAGUUUUAUUCGCGGCCAGCCACUGGCUCGAACGUCGAUAGCUUCGUUCCUCAUCUAGAAACUCGGUGCUAGGUGUGGUGUUUCUAUCUUGUAGCAUGCGAAUUCUUCGGACCGCGGCUGUUGCCGCACCGUCAAACGUCGCGUCGCCUAAUCGUCGAUUGCAAUCACGCGGAUGCUCGCGUCUCGUGCGAGCUACGUCCAUACGGCAGCGACCUCGGUGUCACUGUACUAUGGGCCUUUGUGAUCCAUGACUGAUGGUAGUAGCAAUAAUGAUAGCGUUGUGAGCGAAAAUAGAGACAGAGUACUUCUUAAAAAGGAGCAACACCGUUCACCUUCCUGGGCUGGUAACGAUGAAAAGAACAUGGAGUAUGUUUGGUCGUGGACAGCCAUGCAAAAACGUAUCGAGAAUGUAUCGGGAAUAAUCCGGGAAAUCGGAAUUCGGGACAAAUGUUAGAAAAGAGAUAGAAGAGCUGGAACGUUAGCUCUGCCUUGCCUGGUGUCUCCAACUGGAAACUGGAAUUGUCGGAGUGUCAAUUGUUAUGAAAGUCUGGUCAGAGCGUAGAACGUGGUUUCGAGAUCGGUUCGGUUUCGAAACACAGAUGGAGCCACGCGUUUCUGCCGAUAUCGAUACCUUGGGAUGUAGAGCGAGCGCAAGUAGCAACAGGCGAAGGGUUUCAACGAGAAACUGCGAUCAAUCGCGGUAAUGGGAAGCGAGAAUCGACGUAACGAGACGCGACGUAGCCGAGGGCGGAACACUCAACGAAGCAAGUUGGUUGGACGCGAGAAACCAGCUUCGAUGUAGAAACGUAGAGGAAGCGAGUGACGCCGGUGUCUCGACAAAGGAGUCGAACUCGAUGCGUGUAUCGCAAUGGGAAACUAGAACGGGCCUCUUGCGUGUGCCGCGCACGACGAACACUGCUCUUAUACCGGGUGCUCUACUCAAAUAUCAGGAGUUUCCUUUGAACAUCGUAGUUACACCUUGACAGGAAGUUGAGCUUGCCGAUCGAGUUACUUUGCUUUGCUUGCAUUCUUCCGCAGAUUUGGCAAACGCACCGAUCCACGUGCAACGCGGUCUUUGAUCAAAGUAAAGAAUAUUUUAGCUGUCAUUUCUACAAAUAGUUUUAGGGUGUGCAACCUGCGAAACGUCAAACGCUGCGUAUUUAUCGCCUUGAGCUAUAGUCAGCGGUUUAGGUGGAUGAAGCUUCCAACGAGUUUCUUCUUUUACACAGGUUUCCACGUCGCGUUCAUUGCACCUGUGCGGUUAUUAGCGACGCGAAAAGAGAGAUUUACUAGUUGCAUUCCCCUAAAUAACGAUGUACCUUUCGAAAAGGAGAAGACAUUUGGAACUUUAUUUUUAUCGCGCGAAUUUAACGUUCCUCUCGCCACGAAUGAAACUGAAUCUACGAAUGAAUCUGCGUAUAUGCUGUAUUCGCAGCUUCAGAUACGACAGCUCUGAUAAACCUAGCGUUGUCAAAAAAUAAAUAAAAGAAGAAACGAUAAACCCUGAAAUCGUUAGGUCGGAAAUAUGUAAUUGAAUUUCACUCGAACGAGGCAACAUCAGCAAUGACAAUGCUAAAUAGGACACCCUGUACGCAGACACGGUAUUUAUAUGCGAGAAUAAUCAGCAGUCGCUUCGGUUUCGUUCCCAUUUGUUGAAUUUCAAUGGGACAAACGUGCCGGCUACCUCGCCGUCAGCGUCAAAGUACAACUAGCUCAACCUUAGACUGCAACUUGUAAAGAACCGAGCGUACCUAGUCUCUGUAAUAGUUGAACAAUAGACGUCCUAUGUAAUCACGAUCCUCGGCUCAUACGUAUUCCCGAUAUAACCAAUGGUCGAACCAAUCGCUUGUCCUGGAACGCGUUGUACCGAUCUCCGCCUCCAGCGUUUCCGGUGAAAACGCCGCGCUACCCUUCGCUGCCGUAACGCGUUUAUCGCUGCGAGAUCCGAAUCGUCGCGAUCUGUCAGCCCUUUGGGCUGAGGGCGUUUCCAAGAAACGAACCGGGCCGGUUGCCCGAGGACACUUAUUGAUUUACGGCAGGCAAUUGCUGAAGAAGCCCCUUCGGUCGCAACACCACAGAUCUCAAGCCUCUCUCGACCGGCGCUCUUCAACCUCGAGAGUCUACCGUGAACCACGAAUCUACGUUAUCGAUGCUAUAAUCGCGGGCUGCGUGCGAUCCAGUGCGUUGCCAUUUGUUUCUUCUAUUAUUUUUUCAUCUCUGUUUGAUAUUCCAAGUACCAAGUGGAAAAGACAGGCGUCUAGUAGAGCGGCAAGCAACAACACGGUAUACGUGUCGGAUGAAUUAUCGAUCUGUAUCAUCGGUAACGUGAAACAGAUGCAAAUAAAGAGACGGAAGCCUUGGAGGGCUGGUGAAUGACGCUGGUACGUAUCGUCAGCAGAUCGUGUUCUAUAAAAUGUAACGUACAAAUUCUUUGACGGGCUGAAUGGCGAGGAGAAUGGAACCGAACGAGCAGGGAAACUGUAUCACAGCAUUUCCCUCGGAUUCUCCGGUAUAAUCGAGUUUGCAACGUCGCUUUGACUCGCGAGUACCGUCCUUCUCGCAUUCUUCAGCCCUCAAUUAUUCUUGCAAAGGGUAAUUUGAGCGCGUUAAGCGCGCCACUCGCUUCGAUCCAUAGACGUUCCAACUCGCAGCUGCCGCUUCUCAUCUUUUUCUUCCACGAGAUCGCCCAAAGGUUUCGCGAAUGGGAAGCAGAAAUUUCGGCAGGAUCCGAGGCGACGAACGACGAGUCGAGUGAUCGUCGGCUAUGUGAUAACGAGAAGUGGUAACGUCGUGGCGGAAGGAGGGAAAAAAGGGAGUGGAGAGCCGGGCGAGCGACUGAAUCAGCGCGAACACGCUCGAGGGAUGAAGUGUUCUAGUAGAGCGAAUGAUCGGAAGAGGCUGUAUUUUAAGACGAUUCUCGAGAAAAUGAGACAACGAGAUGUUCCCGUGGCUGCGUUGCUCCUGAGACGAAGCGUGUUCGUGGGAGAAUCUCGAAUUCGUCGUUAUGAUAAUACGAUGGGAAGAAAGCGAACGGACGACGAGGAGGAAAUAGACGACGACGAAGAAAAAGGAGAGAAAAAGAUGAAGAAAAAUAAGAAAAAAGAUUGUCGAUGUAGGAAUAAGUGGGGGAGGGGGGGGGGGGAAGAGAAUGAAAACAUUCCGAUUGCAUGGAGAGAAGUUAGAGCAGCUGUGAAGAAAAGAUGCGGUGGUCAAAAUCGAAAAGACUGAAAACUAGCGUGUUCAAGUUUAUCAAGCGCCAAGUAGGUUGACAAAUUUCAAACGAAAAACUAAGAAAGCGAUCAAACAGAGUGAGAGGAUUGAGAAGGGUAGGACGUGGAAUGGAAGGGACGUGCUUUAAGGAAGAAGAAGCUGAGAAGGAAUACGUAACAGGGAGAAGAAUAAAUCGAGUAGUUAAAAGUAGUUAAGUAAAGUAUCGGAGGAGAGUAAGUAGUAUGUGUUCGUUUGUUUGGCGGGCAUUAACUAGAGUCUUAAGUGAA